GCUCCAGUGGCGCAACCGGUCAGCGCGCGGUACUUAUAAUGCCGAGGUUGUGAGUUCGAGCCUCACCUGGAGCA